CUCUAUGGUGCAACUACCUUCUCUGCUGUGAGGAGUGUAGACAAUUCAGCCAUGCAACAACAAACCAGCAGAGUUAACAGGGCCACCAGUCUCUCAAGAACAGGCUGAGUCGGUAGUAUAAUACUCUGACACUU
ensembl:snoRNA